rnacentral:rRNA from 1 species
UGCCAGCAGCCGCGGUAAUACGAAGGGGGCUAGCGUUGUUCGGAAUCACUGGGCGUAAAGCGCACGUAGGCGGAUUUGUAAGUUAGGGGUGAAAUCCCGGGGCUCAACCUCGGAACUGCCUUUGAUACUGCAGAUCUAGAGUCCGAGAGAGGUGAGUGGAAUUCCUAGUGUAGAGGUGAAAUUCGUAGAUAUUAGGAAGAACACCAGUGGCGAAGGCGGCUCACUGGCUCGGUACUGACGCUGAGGUGCGAAAGCGUGGGGAGCAAACAGGAUUAGAUA